rnacentral:rRNA from 1 species
GAUGAACGCUGGCGGCGUGCCUAAUACAUGCAAGUCGAGCGAACAGACGAGGAGCUUGCUCCUCUGACGUUAGCGGCGGACGGGUGAGUAACACGUGGAUAACCUACCUAUAAGACUGGGAUAACUUCGGGAAACCGGAGCUAAUACCGGAUAAUAUAUUGAACCGCAUGGUUCAAUAGUGAAAGACGGUUUUGCUGUCACUUAUAGAUGGAUCCGCGCCGUAUUAGCUAGUUGGUAAGGUAACGGCUUACCAAGGCAACGAUGCGUAGCCGACCUGAGAGGGUGAUCGGCCACACUGGAACUGAGACACGGUCCAGACUCCUACGGGAGGCAGCAGUAGGGAAUCUUCCGCAAUGGGCGAAAGCCUGACGGAGCAACGCCGCGUGAGUGAUGAAGGUCUUCGGAUCGUAAAACUCUGUUAUUAGGGAAGAACAAAUAUGUAAGUAACUAUGCACGUCUUGACGGUACCUAAUCAGAAAGCCACGGCUAACUACGUG